rnacentral:misc_RNA from 1 species
UGUACGGCUCCGGCCUGGUUCCUCCCGGCACCGGCGUGCUGCUCAACGACGAGAUGGACGAUUUCGCGCUCAAGCCCGGCACGCCCAAUGCGUUCGGGGUGAUGGGCUACGACGCCAAUGCGCCGAAGCCGGGCAAACGCAUGCUCAGUUCGAUGACGCCCACCUUCAUGGAAUCCGCGGACAAGGUGGCCGUGCUCGGCACGCCGGGUGGCAGCCGCAUCAUCACCAUGGUGCUGCUGGGCAUCCUGGGGUAUGACGCGGGACUCUCCGCGCAGGAAGUCGCGGCGCUGCCGCGUUACCACCACCAGUGGCUGCCCGACGUGAUUUCGGCCGAAAGCGGCGCAUUCACGCCACAGGUCGCCCAGGCCUUGAAGCAGAUGGGCCAUGCGGUGGAUCUGCCGGGCGAUAGCGCGGCAGGCGGGCGCGGCUCCAGCCACGUGUGGGGAAACCUGGAAACGGUGCUGUGGGACCGCAAGCUGAACAUACUGUCCGGUGGCAGCGAUCCGCGCAGUCCGGUGGGUAAGGCCAGUGUCGAACUGACGCCUGUGUCCUCUGGCGAAUAAUCCCUGCGGCAAACGGCCGUCCGGGUGGCGUCAUCAGGGAUAGAAUCCGCAACGCUCCCACCCAUUGGCAGGAACCCCGCGUGGCGGACAACGAGAAAAAACCGGUCAUCACCCAUCUGCCUGCGAUCCUCACGGGCAGCGCGGCGUUGCUCGCCGCGUUGACUACGGUCUACAUCAACAUCCGCAACGAUCUGAAAGGCGAUGCCGGCACGCCGCCCGCGAUUGUCGCGCCGGUCAAACCGGUGGAAGCGAAGCCGGAAGCACCGGCGGGUCCGCAGGAACUGCGCCUCCAGCUCAAGCGCGUCGCCGUGCAGCACGACGGCGCGCUGGGCAAUGCCGACUGGCGCUUCGCCAUCGAGGCCGACGGGCAACCGCUGUUCGUGUUCGAGCAGUACUCGAUGACGUCAGAAGGCGGCCGCAACAUCGUCGUCGUCGGUGAAGACCGCGAUGCCAGCGCCACGCUGCAGUUGCCGGCAGGCAAGCGUAUUCCCGUCACCAUCAAGGGCUGGCGGGGCGGAUGGUUGAAGAAAUCCGAAGCGCCGCAGGUGCAGGGUGAAGGCUGGCUUUCGGCCGCCGGCACCUUGGCGCCGAUUUCGGUGAGGGCCGAAGACGAGAAGAAGGGCGCAUUCACUUUCUAUUUUUCGGCGGUUGCGCAGAAAGACUGAGCAGCUCACGCGGGUAGGAUUUUGGCUCCUGCAGGUUGCCGGUUACAGGUUAGGAGGCGGGGAUAUACUCCUGGCAUGAAGCUCUGGUCGAUCCUAGGCAAUUCGCAGAAACUCGAUGGCGGCGCGAUGUUUGGCAACGCCCCGCGUGCGAUGUGGGAAAAAUGGUCGCCGCCCGACGAAGAGAACCGCAUUUCGUUGGCCUGCCGUGCGCUGCUGGCCAGCCCGCUCAAUGGCAGGACGGUGCUGUUCGAAACGGGCAUCGGCGCUUUCUUCGAGCCGAAGUUGCGCGAACGCUACGGCGUGCAGGAACCGCAGCAUGUGCUGCUCGAUUCCCUGCGAGAUGCCGGUUUCGAUCACGGCGACAUCGAUGUCGUCGUCCUGAGUCAUCUCCACUUCGACCACGCCGGUGGUUUGCUGGCGCCAUGGUCGGAAGGCAAGGCGCCUGAAUUACUGUUUCCCAACGCCACCUAUGUCGUCGGCGCGCAGCAUUGGCAACGCGCGCUGCAUCCGCACCCGCGCGAUCGCGCGAGUUUCAUCCCCGAACUGCCGGGCUUGCUGCAGGCCAGUGGUCGUCUUGAGAUAGUCGAGGG